UUGCCAUCAGAACUUAUAAACAAAAAACAUUAGUCAUGCAUACAUAUAUAUGUAUAUCCAUUUAUUUAUAAGGUUUAAACAAUUAUGUAUGAAAAUUAAAAGAAAUUAAAAGAGAAUUAAAGAUGAUGCUUAGUAUCAAUGUUAUAAUAAGUAAAAGCAUUAAGUUAAAUCAACACAUCACUAUAACAUACUGGGAGUAUAUGAAAUUAAAUAAAAAUAUGUUUCAUUUUCAAGAAAAGCUUAUGAAUACCAGAUUGAGCUAUAAAGUUUUGCUUCUGAAGUCAAAUUGAUUAAAAUAAAAACUAACUUGUUUUCAUCUUCUUUACAGCCUAAGCUUGUACAUGGCUGGGAGAGAUUAUCUUAAUCUUUUUCUUUAGUUUAUUAAGGAUAGAUCUAACAUGAUUAUGUCAAAGAUUGAUUGACUUUGAGCACUGAAAGGUAUUUUGGAGGUCAUUUAGUCAAUGAUAUUUUCCUAUAUCUGGAAAUCUCUUUAUGAACUUGUUGGGGAACAGUGAAAACUUAAAAUCUUAGCCAAGAAGUAUAAUUAGUAAAGUUAUGAAUUGUUGUCCUCAGAAAGUGUGGAGGAUAUUAAGAUUCCCAUCAAAGUAGAGCUAAAUAUACUUUCUUUCCCAUAGUCUCGCCCAGUGGAAGUUGGAAUCUAGAUUUCAAAAGCUGUCCAUAACUCUCAAAAGCCUCUAGAUACUAUAUUAAAAUAAUGUUCUUCUCUAGUCUAUGUUGAAACUACUUAUUAUUAUAGAUAUAAAUAGAAAAUAGCAGGGAAUAAGAGCCACUAAUUAAAAUAUUUGGUUGCUUCUUUUUGUAACUUUAUUUGAUUUAAAAAACAAAAAUUAGCUAUGGGGACAGUUUAGUGUAGGAGUUAAUUGUACAGAUUCUUUAGUCAGACUGCCUGUUUUCAACCAUUGGACAAAUUACUUAAUGUAUUUGAACUACAGUUUCCUCACUUGUAAAACAGGAAAAAUAACAGAUCAAUAUACUCCAGUGCUGAGAAGGUUAAAAAUAUUACCUACCCCACAGGUUUGCAAGUGUGAUGCUUAAAGCAAUGAUUGCAAAAUGUUAAGUCCUCACAAACUGUUAGUUAAUAUUGUUUUUGAGGUGGUGGUUGUUAUUGCUGUGUUUGAAGUCAAUGAUUAAUGAAACUAAACCCCUUUUGUCCACCUUAUAUAAAUGUAAUAUGUCCACUGACAGUGAAUGCAUAGUGAAAAGAGCUGCACCAUGUCAAACUAAAAGAUCUAGAUCACCCUUGUCAGUUACUUGCUUGGCAAUUCAACCUGUCUGAGCCUGGAACUUCCCAUUUUAUAAUGGUGAUAGCAUUGCCUGGCCCACCUUGCUCAACUAAGAUACUAAGAGGAUCAAAUGAGACAUCUUCGAAAGCUUCUUGUAAAAUUUAAAGGACUACAUAACUCUGUUACCGAUUGUUUGGAGUUAGUAACAAUAAGCCAAGGACUCACAUAUGAAACAUUGAGUGACAACUGACAAUCUGCAAGAAAAUCUCUUGCCUACAUCGACUUUUCAUGUUCAGAUUACUGGUUUUGUUGUUGUUGUUGUUGUUGAAAAUAAAAUCCAAAUCUAACUAGAUUCAUAACAUACAACUAUAUUAUCAGUUUUCUAACAAAUAUAGCAUGAGUAAAAAUAAUGAAAAGGAGAUAAAUUGUCCAUUAAUAUGUUUACAUAAAGCAUGAGCUUUUUUUUUCCUGAAUGGGUGCUUCAUCAGCAACAUAAAAAGUUAAAAUUAGCUUAUGCUAAUGUAUUAAAAUCUUACUAAGUUUUAUUGACAUUUGAAGCAAAAGAAUUGCAUUGAGUGUAUUUACUGGUAUGCUUAUAAAACAUACAUCUGUAAUAAAAUGCCAUUUAGAAUAUAUUUUGAAGGAUCUUUAACUAUGACUUACAGUGUCUCCACAUGAUAGUUCCCCCAUGUGACAAAAAACAUCAAAAUAUCAACCUAAAAUAUGGAAACAAAAAUACUUAAACUGGUUUGGCCACAUUUAAGGAACCAUUAAUGAUACUUCACUUGAGAAGCAUCAAUACCCUAUUGAAAAAAUUGGAAAGUAAAGCAAUAUUUGUUCCAGUGGAAUGAUUCUAAUGCUUUGUAGUUAAAACAAAAACAAAAAACAGGAGACCUUACCUCUAAAUAACCUUUGUGGUUUACAAAGUACUUUCACAGGGGUUAUUCCUUAUGGUUUUCUAUCAGGUAGAUAGUAUGUUGCUGUGUUUGCACAUGAGGACCUGCAGCCCAGAGCAGUGAGGGGCUCACACAUUAAUCAGGGUCUUCACUUGCCUCAUUGACCCAUUGCAGAUCACCUAACCCAAACCCACAACUCUUUCCUGAAGAUAUCAUUUUUUUUUCCUUUACGUGUCACGAGAAUCAACAGUUGGUGUUUUUUGUUAUAACACCUAGUAGAGUGGAAAGAAAUUAGAAGAUAAAUAUCUGCAACAUUAUAGAUAUGUAAAUUGGGAGAAUUCACAUCAUUUCCCUAAACUUUACUUUUCUUGUCUGUAAAAAUAAGGUAAUACAAAUAGCAACUUAUAUAGGGUUUUGUAGGGUUUUUGGUAAGGAUCAAAAGAGUUAACACUUACGAAAGCAUUUUAUGUAUAGUAAUAUAUAAUGUACAUUUAAUUUUCUGUCUUUAUUAUCAGGUUCUCUAUUUGAAUUAUAUGAAUUUUAAACAUUCUUAAAAUAAGAAAAUACCACAAAGGAGAUAAGAGCAUGAGUGGUACUCAUAAUGGUAUUCUAGCUUUUGGCCCUGCUGUGGACAAAUUGCUGAACGUCUCUAAACCUUAGUUUUCUCUCCUGAAAAUAAAGCAAUUACAGAGAUUAAAUGUGAUGAUAUCUAUAAAGGACAUAUUACAGUGAUUGAUACAUGGUGAUAUGGUUUGGCUGUGUCUCCACACAAAUCUCGUCUUGAAUUGCAGCUCCCAUAAUUCCCACCUGUUGUGGGAGGGACCCUGUGGGAGAUAAUUGAAUCACGGGGGCAGUUUCCCCCAUACUGUUCUCAUGGUAGUGAGUAAGUCUCACCAGAUCUGAUGGUUUUAUAAGGGGAAACCCCUUUGGCUUGGUUCUUAUUCUUUCUUUUGUCUGCUGCCAUGUCAGAUGUGCCUUUUGCCUUUUGCCAUAAUUGUGAGGCCUCCUCAGCCGUGUGGCACUGUGAGUCCAUUAAGCCUUCUUUCUCUUUAUAAAUUACCCAGUCUUGAGUAUGUCUUUAUCAGCAGUGUAAAAACGGAUGAACAUACACCGUAAAUGUGACUUUUAUCAUUCAUUUAAGCAUCCUGUUUAUAAAAAUGUAAAUAAUCCAUUUUCACAUAUGCUGUGUUUUCGAUAAAAUAACUUGCUUAAAUCCAAUCCUGGCAUCAUAGAUAAUUUAAGCCAUGGUUUUCUGAUCCCGUCCUCUUUUGUGACUCCAGUCCCACAGACAGGAACCAAAGCCAGCAGAACAAAGCAGCCCCAGAUGUGUUCUACUCUAUUAUCUGAAGUAAAUGAAAAUCAACCCUGAGGUAGAGAACCUCCUUCUACUACCAUCAAAGUCCUUGAUCUGUUUCCCAACAUGAAUUAACCUUUCCAUGUUUUCGUUACAUUUGAACAUCAGGAAUGUGUAGACGGAAGCAGUUCAUCCUGGGAGGUGAGAAUGAGCAUUGAAAGAGCCAUCCGUGAAACCGUAAGGCUGGGAAAGAGAAGUGAAGGGGCACAUGGAAGUGUUCAUCUCUGGGGCAGGGAAAAACAAUCCGGAGAAGAUGAGUCACACCUCAUUUGUAACCCAUGAAUGAAAAUCAAUACUGUUACUUAUCAUAAAUUACACUGAACAUAGUGCUUACACUUGAGUAUCAAUGCAGUAAAACCACUAUGAGCCAAUUGAUUGACUUUUCUAGAUCCCAAUUCUAUCAUUCAUCUUCUGGUAUUCAUCUUCUGGCUUAGCUACUAUUUCCUGGCACAGAUUCUUAAUAAAGAUCCUUUCUCCUUGGUCCCAG
rnacentral:lncRNA from 1 species